GACAGCCGCGCCGCCCGCUCCGCCGGGGGCAGGGGGCUGGCCCGGGAGGGCUGCGCCCCCGCUCCGGCGCGGCCGGGGCUGGCUGGCCUCCGCGGCCGGCGAGGGGAGGCAGCCUCUCGAUGUGAAAUGUUGAGGAUGCUGCAUGCUUUAGUAUUUGAAUGACUUAAUGAAGCAGCUUGACUAUCUCACGCAGUAAAGUAUAAGAGGACGUAGCGAGUGGUCUUGUGCUGUCCUCGAGUUACCUGGUUCUGAGCCAUGUCAGGGAGCGGGUAUUGGACCAGCAGGCUGGGAAGCUUUGCCGCAUGUCAGGUAAACAGAAGCAUGCACUUGACUGAAAUGAGAAGCAGCUACCAGGCUAUGCUUGCUCCUUCAUGCCUAGACGUCUGUGAUCCAAUCUGUCUGUCCAGGAACAGCUAUAGACUUGCUGUUCUCGCUGCUGACACUUCAGCUGACAGGAAUCAGAAUUCAUAUGGUACUGUAUCCCCUACAGAAACAAAGGCAAGAGCAAAUUUAAAUGAAACUUUACGUCUGUUUGAUCUAGCACAGUGCAUCAUUGAAGAUUGCCAUGAAACAAUCCUCUGGGGAUAGAAAUACACAUCCACAAGUGGCCAAGGCCGGGUUUAGGAAGUUACACUGUAGAGUCUCCAUACUAGCAUUCCCGUUGUGGCUACAUGGAGAAAGUUUGAUAUAGGUUGAGGAAUUAGAGUAUUAUGGUUUCUAUAUUGGCAUGAAGUUCUUGUGUAAGUAUCAUUACCCUGUUUCUGGCUGGCUUGAAAAUUCCACUACGUUCUAAUAAGUAGGUACAUAUGGCCCCAAUUGUUUGUUUGUUUGUUUGUUUUCCUAUUUUAUGUAAACCACUGCUAUACUAGAGAAAUAUGGUCUCCCUAGUCCUGGAGUCAGCUAGAAAGCUCUAGCUAGUGCGGAACACUGUGCUGUUUCUUCACAGUGAUAUAAAGCACCCAAUCUCACCUUUUCUAGUUGCUUGCAGCAAGAUUUUUGAUCCUAUUAAAUAUUCUGGUUUUUUCCCCUCAAAGAAAGGUCCCAGGUUACUUAAGGGUUAACUUAAAGUUAACAUACUUGUGUCCCAGGUUACUUAAAGUUCCGUAUAUAUUCUGGAAUAAGGAUUGCAGUUGACAGCUAGAUUUAUGGCAUGCUGAAAUUCUCCAUAAUACAGAUAAACCAGAAAUUUGUCACAUACGGAAUUUCUUCAGAGGCUGGUGCUGAACAGCAAAGUGGAUUCUGCUAAGAACUAAGGACUUCAAAAACCUCACUUCAAGUAAAAUAGCAUUUUUCGAUGCAGCUCUUCUCCAAUAUGCAAACAAAAGAAUGGUAUUAAAUAUAUUAAUAUAGGAGAAAACCUUUUACACGCUCCAUUACAUAUAUUUCUUUGCCUUGGGAACAUGCAAGAACAUUUUGACAGCUGUUAAUCAGUUUUGUCGAUUCACUGUUCUGAGGAUAUGCAACCAAUAUUGCUAAUGCACACCAUGUUUUGAGCAAGCUCAAUAAUGGACUGCUUGUACUGACAAUUUUAUUGUUGCUACUGGAGAAAUACAGUUUUAGGGUAAUCAAAUGUCACGAGUUCAAAUAAAAUUUGGGCUUUUCUUGUGGCAUAUGGAAGUUGAAGAAAUCACUUUGUUCGUGCUUUGUUGGGGUAUGUGCGGGUAUGUAAGCUCUUCAGUUGCUGUGAGGUAUUUGGGAAAGAGUGAACUUGUGGAGUGGAGGUGAGUUCUCCACAGCACCAGUGCACACAACGUGCGCGUGUGUGUGUGUGCUGGCAAGUCCACGAGAGAUUGAAGUGAGCAGCAAAUGAUUAUGUGUGCAGAGAAGUGCCUGAUGAGUGAUGUACUGUAAAGUGACAGAUGAAGAUCUGGCUCCUCUUCCUCUUUUAGUAUUGGUUUGGCCUCUGGCAGGUCCUGUAUUGGAUUGGGGUGGGGAGAUUGAAUAUGUAGGGUUUUAUAACUGAGUUUUCAAAAAUUGUUUAUGCAGAGGGUCUAAUGCCUGUAUUAGUGUUAAACUGAAGCAGAAGUGCAUGACAACGUGUAUGAAGUCUAGUCAGCCUUGUGUAUUUUCCAGGAGAAUCGUACUGUGAUUCACUGAAAACAUUUAAUGUUCUAUUGCAAAAUACUUGCUUACAAGAGACCUUUUGUUCGGCAGGCUUUGGAUUUUUCACUGGUUCUGAUUUUUCCAUAUGAAAAUGUAAAAUGAUAACAUUUAAUAAAAUACAUACACCGUUAUUUAGUAUCUGUUUUCAUGUUGUCUGUCACUUUAGUCUUCAAAGUAUUUUAAGCAGAAUGCUCUUUGCUGCUAUUAAAAUUCUGAAAAAUGCAGUUACUUUUAAUUUGCUUCAUAUUGAGCCAUUUUUUACCUUUUGGUGAGAAUACUGCCCGUGAGUUUGGCUUUCCUAAUGUUUAAAAUAAAUUCAUCAGUGAGUCUUAGCUUUUGUGGGAUCCAUGUAUCGUUGAGAAAGCUUUGGCAAAGCCUGUUUACUGAAAACCUACAAAAUUCGUUGUAGGUGCCUGCAUUUCUCAUACUUGUUGAAAUCAUCCUUCAGUCUUGGCAGCAAAGCCUUCAGCUUACUGUUAAUUGUUUUCCUUCUGCUUGUUACAGAGGUACUUGGAAUUUAUGUAGUCAUGGUUAUGCUGAGGUUUUUCCCACUAAGCAGGAUAAACACCCCUCUAAUUUCACACUUACUAGGUUUGAACACUGAAUCAAAUCAUCUUAAGAGGAAAACUUUGUCUCUUUCUCUCCAUCCUUUUGUGGGGGGGAGAGAGGAAAGGAACAUUGAAAUGAGAAGGAGGGGAGGGAGGAAAAUAACAGUGGCAGAGAGAACAUUAAGUGAAUUCUAGUUGGGGGGUUUUUUCACCUCCUCAACAAGCUAAAUUUUUACCAGCUUCAAAUUUCGUGUAUGUCUCUGAGGUAUAAGGGAGUACUCAUAUUUUAAACUGAAACAAAGAUUUAUUCUCUGAUUUUUAACAACCUAAUUGAUUUGAGCUGUCUGUAAUGGAGUAGCAGCUUUGAAAGUUCAUAUCCCAUGUGUAUGCUAAUGUCUCUUCAAGUCAGAUUUCUCUUCAGGGCUGGGCAUGAAAACAAAGUACUGCAAUCACUCGCUGAUCAAAAAUGACUUAGGAAUAUGUAUUUUCUCAGUUUAACCUUGGGCAAAAUAUUUUUGGCAUCACGGCAUUCAUUUUCAUGGACUCGAGUGCUUUUAAAGUAUAGCCUUUUAUAAUUAGGGUUUUUAAAGUUUGGCUAUUUAUGCAAAGUGUAUAGGGGUGUUGUUCUUGUGUAAUUUUGCAUUUGAAAUCUUUAGGAAAUGGGACAAUUGCAAGAAUUUUCUUGGUCUUUGAUAUGGUAUGAGCUCUCGGUGUUUGAGGAAUUCAGUAUUUUCCUAAACUUCCUCACACAGUUGUUAUAUGUUAAUUAGUUUAUAUCUGUGCUGUGAAGCUGUAAAGUGUUGUUAUUCUUUAAUUAAAAAAUUGGUAGAGGUCACCGUGUUUAAAUGGAUGCAGAUAAUUCACAAUACAUUCAAAGCAAUUCUUCUGACAACCCUGCUGCCGCAGCCUGUUUUAGAUUUGUAAUUACCCCAUCGUUCCACUGGAUGCCCCAAUCUGGGGUGUGCCUCUUGUCCCUGCAGUAUGAGGACAGGCAGCGUCUGCUCUUUGGCCAGCUGUCAGCACACCUUUACACCACGUGCCGUGUGUAACGGUUGGUUGCCUGGAAGUCCGUUUGCUGGAUGCCCUUACUAAGGAUAUCAUGAACUGGGUCUGACAAAAUGAUCUUACUAAAGCAAAACUAAAGGUCUGAGUGGGUUCAGUCGUUCGCUUCGCCAGAUUCCUCCCUCCGCCCUUCAGGCCCCGAGAUGGCUAAAUCAGGAGCCCCUCACUCACGUAUUCAAUGGAAAACAGGAGAGUGAGUUGAAUCUCCACGUGGAGGAGCCUGUUCCUCUCCAUAAACUGUAAUAAGAAACCCAGGACGAUUAGACACUUUACAAAUUAUCCUUGCUAAGUGCCUGAAGUUGCGUCGUGUGAAUCAAAGCCUUUGUACCAGAAAUUGGCUUAGCGCUGCUGGCAGAGUUGCCACGCGUCUGUCUUCUGUUCUCCAGAUAAUGAGAUUUCUGUUUUAUUACAACUUUCACUAUCAUUUUGAUUGGUAGAUUGAAAAAUUAAGUGUAGGGAAUGAAAUGGAGAAUAAAGUCUUUGGCUUACCCCCCAAUAAAACUUUUGCAAUAUUACGAUGUAUUGCAAAAUGAUUUGGGUAACUCAAACUCUAUGUGCAGUCACUGCUGGCCCUGAGCGGGGUUCAGAUGUCGUGGCAGUUACUUACAAAAGUAUAAAUACGAAAGGAAAAUAGAUCAUGUUACGAUGUUCCUCAUGUUUUAAAAGUAUUUUUUUUAGAUACUGAAAAAGUGAGUCUCUUCCUGUGUACUGAAUCAUAGCUCCAACGUGAGUAUAUUUAACAUUUGAAAGAAUGUCUGUUAGACACAACCCAAGAGAAUUUCUUCUCUCUUGUCCAAUUUCCUAUGUUUUCUGUGAAGAUUAUUAGCAGAUGAAAUUCUGCAUGCUCGGGAAUAAUCCCUCUCUUACCCUUGCAUAUGGAGCUCCGGAUCUAGACAACAUGCCAGAAAGAAAGGUAAGAACGCAUAGCUUACAAAGCGAGAAGUAUACGGCCUUUCUGCUAGAAUAAUUCAUGUCAGCAAUUGUGGCUCUUAACACUUAAACUGGGUCCAAACGUCGUAUCAUGUGCUGCUUAAUGGUUUCCUAAGGCACCAAUGUCCGCACCUUUUGCCAGAUGCGAUUUCCAAGCUUUACCUUUUUAAAAGCUGUUUUAAUUUUUAUCCCUAAGGUUGUGUGGAAUGAGCACAGCGAAGCAGGAGCCAUUACUGUGCUGCCAGGAGUUUGGUGUUCUGUAGCCAUGCUGUCCUCUAGCAGGGGAAAAGCGAAUUUGGGGGGGCGUGAUGAGGAAUUGGAGGCAGAGGGAGAAACCAGGGGUUAGCACCAAAGGUUAUUUUUACUCCAAAUGUACUAUUUUCUUCAGCUUUGUAAAAAUGAAAGGUUUUUCACUUUUCAAAAUAUAUGAUGUCUCUAAGAGAGAACGAGGCUGUUGGCUGCCAGUGGCUCCCAAGUUCCUACAGAGGUACAUUGGGGAAAAACAUAAGAAAGUAAAUAGAUUUUUCAUGUUGCUUUUGAAUAGUGCUUUUUCUUUCCCUUUAAUCUCAAGUCAGUGGGAAGCCCAUUUUCCAAUAAAUACAUGUAACCCAGUUUGGUGUGUGUUUGCAGGGUUAUGCGAGCGUGGAGCUGUUAUUCUUUAAGGAUGUAAAAAGUAAGUGCAGGGAAGAGAAUGAACUAAUUGGAAAUCAUUCUUGAAAAAAUGGAAUAAAUGAAAUAAUUUUAGUUUUCUGGUACAGUCAAAGUAUGCUCUACCCCUUUUAUCAGCUGAUCUUCCCCCCACACACACACCAAUGUAAAGAACUAUAUUAAAAUUCAGCUAACAGGCCACCUAGAAGGGCAACGUGCCUGGCUGGCUAAAGCGAUCACUGAUAAGUAAAUCUAGUCUGAAUUCCAUUUUAAAUAUGGGCUUUUUCACGCCAGCGUGGCUAGGAGUUAGGCCUUGGUGAGAGGUAGGUGCUCUCUUUACUGCACUCACAAGUUCUCUGGCAAGGCUGAGCUCUUACCAACGCAGACUUGUAAGGUGAAGUGAACCUCUUGGAAAAGGGGAUGAGAACGGAGGAGAAGGUGGUUGGUCCCACGAGCUGCUUUUUUGCAGACCACUCCUUACAUGCAUUGCUGUGGCCGUUAAAAGUUCGUUAUAAAACAAGCCUCAAAACAAGACUUCAGUGAGCUGCGCGCUGCUCGACCUGCCUGCAUGUAUGGUUUAAAAAGCCCAGGGCUGGGCCGUCAUCUAGAGGCUUUGUUUGGUUUUUUGUGUAAAGCAGUUCCACCAAAUGUGAGAGCCAGUUUUAUUUUGAAGUCUAGCUGGUGGUUUCAGGGAAGCAGAUGUUUAAGUAGCUCGCUCGCUCUGAAAUAUGUCAACGUUUUGUAUGCUGCCGUUUCCGUGGAAACGGGUAUUGGCUCAGCAGAAGUGGCAUAGGGAUCUCAAAAUUACAUUUUAAAAAACAAAAUCAAGAUAGGUUAGUCAUUCUUAUUUUUCCUCAUAAACACUGCUAGUGGUGCUGAGUAGAACCUGGCUUUUGAAUAUAUUGGGUGUAGUCACGCGAAUGGGCAGAUCAGUGAAUAAUAUUUUAAAUUAAUAUUUUCAAAAAAGUGAGCUAGUGUUUGAUGGACCUCUGUUAGCAAAGCAUGCACUCACUGCAUUUUGUUCAGCACAUGCUCUUCUACGCACUUGAAGGCAAUCCCAGUCCUGUCGCUCUUUAGGCCUCCACCUUCCUCCAAAGAGGUGAAAUGUGCAUUGGAUGAGAACUGCAGAUUUCAGCUGGCAAACUACACUUUAAAAAAAAAAAAAAAAGUGGCUCGUGAAACAGAACUGUUAAGUUGUGAGUUUGUAAUCUUCAGCAGCAUGUACAAAUGAAGCAAGCCCUGUAUUUUUGGGCUACUUUGUUGGCCUUUGGGGACAUGUGCUUUAGGAAUAGCCCACUGACAGCCAAAGUAGUUACCCCAGUUCAGCAUUGCUACAGCAUUAAAAACAGGAUUAAACUAGCGGGACCUGGUGCUUCGCAGGAUGUUGUACAAAGAACAGAUCUCACGUGAAGCUGAGGACAAGGAGCUCCAGGAAUUCAUCGCCUUGUAGCUCCAGCGCGAUCAUCCGGAGGUUUAUUUCCUAGCCCGCGCAGUGGUUAGCUGCCCACGUGAGCCCAACGCCCCAAGUUCCCGGCUGGCGAAGGGAGGCAGCUCUGUGCCCGGGGGGAGGCCGAAGGCAGCUCCACUGGAGCCGCGGCGCUUUGCGGCGCAGGAAGGGCCCGGUGCGAACGCAGCCCAGGAGAGUCUGCUGGCACUGUGUGAGGAGGAGGAGAGAGGAAGAACUGCAGGCCUGAAGGAGAAACAGGAGCGAGAAGGUGGCACGGGACUGGCUGGUGGGGUGGAGGAAGCAGCAGGAGCUGUGUGUGUGAGGGGAGAUGGCUCAGGAAACGGCUGUAACGAAGCCACCUACAAACAAAAAGCAGGGAACAUUGCUCUAAAACCAUUGGCAGUUUCCCAAAAGAACACGGACUUUUUUUUUUUUUUUUUACUAAAGUGGAAUUUGUUUGACGGAACAAUUCCCCUUAGAAAUAAAAUUCUUUAAACAUUGGAUCACUAAAUAAUGAAGGGUAAAGUGCUUAGUGACCUAAAUUAGAUUCCUUAAAAGGAUACCCACCAAGAUCAAACUGUGUUUCUAUAUGGGCUAUACUUAAGCCAACUAUUUUCCCAAAACACAGAGGCAAAACAAGCCUACAGUUCACGUGUGGGCCUUGCUCUCCGAGUCUCCCAGCACUUCCCAAACAGCGAAAGGGAGCUGGUGGCGUUUGCCUGUUGCGAAACAUCGCUGAGUGCUGUGGGUGCAGCAGCAGCGCUGCUCGUCCUGCCAAGGAGAAACCGAACCAGAGAUGGAAUUUCCUUCCAAGACAGACACUCAUGUGUCUCCCUCAUAGCUCCGUAUUUCCCUCUCCCUUGGAUCAUUAUGGAAUACACCAUAAAACUGUAUUGAUUUCUCAAGGAAUAGAACAAACCCAAGAAGUGAGCGCACUGGUGAGACCAAGUGUCCGUCUGGGCUGGCGUCCUGCCGUUUUACCAUCUUCAGCUGGUUCAAAACCCAGGAACUUUUCUCAUCUUGCCAAAGCAAAAGGAGCCUGUAAGGAAGGUGGGUGCCACCUUAGGGGUGUUCCCUAGCAAAGGGAGGUGCAGAGAACGGUCACCUUUCCAUUGUUGCAGACAUACAGGUGGUGCCCUCUCAUUAACUAACGAAGCCUUGCUCAAACCCUGCGCAGACGAGGGCAGGGCGGGUGGGCAGCUUGAGCUUACGCGGGUCUGCAUCAGAUGUGAGGUAAAUGGCAGCUCAAGGGUAACGGUUUAGUGAGGCAGCCAGAGCUGGGGUGAACCUUGUUUGGAUUUUUACUACCUAAAGAGCCUUCAUGUGGGAGCAUACACGGAAACAAGUUAUACUUAAUAAGAAAUUGAUUAUGCAUAAUAGCUCUAGCAAGACUAAUUGUGAAAUUCACCUAUUUCCCAACAUCAGUUAUCUAAUGAUUAUGUCUAGAAAUGCCAGAUAAUGUCGCUCUGUAUCAUAUACAGCAGUAACCAGGUUACAGGGAACAUCAGACGGAACGGAACACAGUACAGAACCCCUCCUGUCCUUGACAGUCUCUCUCACGAUGGUAAAUACACAAAAAUGGUCCCUGAGCACUAACAGGGCGUUCUGCUUUUGAUGGAGAAGGGGGGAGUUUGGGCUGUUGUUUUCUAAAAUAACAUUUGAUGCUGUAUCUCCUCAUCACGCCACUGGGAAAGAACGGUAACGCCGGGCUGAGUCAGGGAACGGUCACAAGAUCUGGGUGCGAACAUCACCGCAGAUUCCUCACCACAACAGGUUCAGUGGUUCCCUAACAGAAAGUUCCUGACCCCUGCGCGGGAGCACUGAUGCAGGCGUCUAUCGAGGGGCAGCUCAGUUCUACACCUCAGUAACGUGUGCUCGGAGCAGGGCUGCAGCGCCGGCACCGCAGCCGGGACUGGCCCGAGCAGCUCCACACGGCGCCAGACGUGGCCCGACAGCAGAGCACGGGAAGGCUUCCUACAGCGGGUACAGCGCUGCCGCCCUUUUCUUACCUACCCAAAGGGCAGCUCAGAGCCCAGCGCCGUGUUGCUGUGCACAUCCCUGCUAGGCGCUCGGUGCUGGAGGCUGAGUCCUGCCUUCGGGGUGGCUCUGCCCUGCCACACACGGCGAGUUCCUCAUCCCCAUCGCUGCCCCCGUGAAACGGCUGCAACUGCGCUGGUGUCUCAAAAGACCUCGACUUCAGUGAAGCCCUAAGGUAAUCCAAUUUUAA